rnacentral:snoRNA from 1 species
UCAUGGGUUUUAAUUUGUAGCUGACCCAAGCUCUCUGGGUUCUCAUAGUUUCCCAUGAUAAAGUGAAAUAUCACCUCAAAAUAUUGCUUGUAUUUGUUGGCUGCUGGGAUUAAUUAUUUUGCACAGAG